GGGAUUUUCAGUCAGGCCCAAAGUCCAGAAUGGAAUCAGGCACUUACCCACAGCGAAGCAGGAGUUAUAGAGUGGAGCCGCGGAUAGGUUAAAAAUCUCAGGCUAUUUAUCAGCUAACCUGCAAAGAAGUGUCGAACGGCGGCGGGCUGUUGAGUUAUCCCAACAGACCGCCGGCUGCAGGAGGAGCAGGAGGCCGAGGCUGCAACCCCCUGGGGGCAGGGCCCUGCCUUUGCACGUCCGGUUCAAUUUCAGGGGCUCGCUGUCGCACUAGGAUCUCAUCACGAUCCGCAUCCAGUUCCAGGGCCUCGGUGCCCAAAAGUCUCUAGUUCUGUCCUGAACCUGAAGUCACCUUGGAUUCCAGGAAUGUGAAGCCUUGCAGGUCACCCCUUGAUGAGAUCACCCUUAAGUGGAAGCAAUGUCCCUAUGUUGGGAACCAAGGAGCAACCAUCUCAUGGGAACUGGCUUGUCCUCUCUGCUGAUAAGGACUUUUCCAGAGUCGCCCUAUAGAAUGAAGACCAAGUAGACCACAGACUGAUGGAGACUGCUUAAUUAUGCAUGUGAUGUACAAUUUCUCCUUGCCCUAACCCUACAGCUUCUGUCGGGUCCCAGAAGACUUGGUGCUUCAUCUCUGUCUUCCCAACAUUGCUACAUCUGGUCAAAAUGCUUCCAUGAUUUUCCAUUAUUACUUUCCCACUGAUUUCCGGGGCUAAUGGACAGACCUGAUUUGUUGGGACUCCUGGAGUCCCGCCACUGGCCACUCUAGAGUUUAGUAAGUGAACUAAUACAUAAUGCACUUGUUACAAGGUGAUGUAACCAUCUGCUGCUUUUACUUUUACUCUGACAACUAGGUAAAGACCCAGAUAUUUAACAGGGAACUCCAAAUACCAGCAUAUGGAGUCUUAUCUUUGAGAAGAGAGCGAGGUGUUCGAGGUUACCCCUCUCCAUCUGGCUGGGUCCACAGAAGUAGAGUGAGUCCUGUCUGGCUGCCAGGUGACUGUCAAGAGGUCAUUUGCUCAUCUGUGGGGUGUUAUUAAUCGCCACAGAUCCAGCUCUGUUGUUCACUCAGCUGAGGUUUACAGAUUGCCCGGGCCCCCAGAGUUUGUGUUGUGAAAGAUCUCCAUCUGGGUUUUAGCCUCCAGCCCUCACUUACACAAUGCAGGUUUGACAUCCCUGGUCCUCCUGUCAAAAUUCCCCUGUCCACCACCCACCUCCAGAAACUCUUUGAAAUCACCUCUCUGCCGUGAGUCCCCCUCGUCAUUGCUGGAUUUGGGUCAUUUUUCAAGUGCUUUUACUAUUAUCUUCGUAUCAUCUUGGUUAGGAGAAAUCAAGCAUGUUUAAUCUGCUAUCUUUCAUCCAAUUCUUGUUUACUGUCUGGGUUGGUACAGUUCCAGGGUUCCACAUCUGAAGUCCGAGGCCUUUUGCAUGCUUUUCUUGAAGGUGAAGGUCCUGGAUACUUCUGAGGCAAGGUAGUCCUCCCCCAGGUGACACACUUUAGUUGAGAGCCCUUUAGAGAUUGUUGCCAAAUGUAACCCCCAACCCCCAGUCUUUCUGAAUUUGCAAUUAGCAGUGGAAAGGAUUUUAGGCAAGGGUUCAGGAACGAGGUUCCAGGUAAUGAUGGAAACCAUUUAUGAAUAAGAUGUAAUCACUGCCAAGCUCUGAAAUCCUUACGAGCAUGCCUUUUAGUGUGACUACUAACAUCUCAUUCCUCUGGGCCAGUGCAGGAAGUCAGUACGCACACUAGCUCCAGAAUGGAUGUGGGUUCUUCCUUUACAAUAGAGGAGUAAUUCCAUUCUGAAUAAGAGUCAUUCAUUGGCUUCUAAUUCACUGUUACCAUUGCGUUUACAAUACGAACAUGCUGAAUGAAAGAUAGUGGAAUUUGCGAGCAUUUAGGCAUUUUAAAAUGUUACUGGCAAUUGACUAUAACUUCCACAGAUGAAGAACAAACCCUCAACCAGCUAACCAGAAAUAACAGUAAAUUGGUAACCACAUCCCUAUUUAAGGGAUAUGAUAAUAGUUGUCCAUGUCUAUGGCCAUACUACCCUGAAUGUACCCGAUCUCAAUUGGUAAUAGUUGGCCAUGUUAAAGGAAAACCAUGUUAUAUUAUAAGAAAGACAUCAUUCUGGACAAUUUUCAGCAUUAGAUGUGCUUAGAGCUCAUCAAAGAGUCACAGGAAAGCAGAGGCAUAGGGCCCCUCUCCCCAGCUGGCACCCGGCACCUGAUGUUCUCAGAAUUCAAGAGUUAGAAUAUCGCCUGCAGCCUGCUACAUGAUGGAGCCCAUGAUCAGAAAAGGGGGCAGGAAACAGCCCCAGGAUGUCCAUCAGAUAAAGCUGUGCACCCUGAAUGAUAGGGUGAGGAUUUGGAAGGAGUGUCUUUGAAAACUGCAAGUAGUGUAAUUCUUUGGAGUACCAGGGAAGGGGACAGGGAAGUCCUGUGACAUGGACUAGAGAAACCAAUCUUGCGCUGAAUCAGCUCGCCAGCCAGAUUCACCCUUUCCUGAUGCUGCUUGUCUCUUUCUGCAGAAUGCUGUAUUAAAAAUAGUUGCACUUUCACAGACUGAGGGUCUUCUCAGUCACAUGUGCGUUGAUCACCAUUGAAUCAGAGCAGCAGUGACCAGUAUGCAUGUCAUCAAGAUGGGAUUUAAAGUGGAAAAUUGGUUACACAGAUGACAGAGAAUCAGAGACACUCAGAUUAGUGGCAGCAGGAGUCACUCCCAGUCUGUGUGACAGGAACAAUCAGAGUCUCCUGGGGUCACUGACAGCAGUUGGAGACGGGGCAGAUUUUCCUGACUGGAGCAUCCCAUAGUUAGAAUCAGUGGCACAUUCAAGGCCCAUAGGCUUGGCAAAAGACGUCUGGCCUUCCCCUCUCUCCCAUCCUCCAGCGGUUCUCAUGGACUGAUUCCCACAAGAGCCUCCCUAACUUGCAAGCCUGGGAAACCUGUUUGCAGGGGUGGGCACCUGUAAUGCAGAGCCAUUAGGAGAAGCAUGAAGAAUGGAUCUGAAAGCAAGUGGGCUAUGGCCUGUGCAUUGCAUUGCACACAUUAUGGACACUCCUUAGAUUAAAUGUCUAGUAAGACACUCUGCAUCAUAUAAAUAUGUGUACAUGUGUGCUUCUGCAGCUCCCUGCCUGCAGUCAAAUGAGCCAUAAACUGUUGCUAAUCUAGCUGUCAAUGACAUGAUAUUUUAAAAUGUAUAAGCCAGGAAGUUUAUUGACCAUCCAUCUUUGAGCAGAAAAUUAUUUCCAUCUUCUGGUUUUAUUUCCAGUCAUAACACUAUGAGUAUCUGGUCCCAGAUGCAUGGCUACCAUUCCCAUGACUGCAUAAACACCACACAACCCACACACAUACUGCUUCGUCUGUGUGCCCUUUAAACCAACGCCAUCUAAGCUUAACGACAUUUGGGGGCAGUUUUCACAAGAAGGUAAUGGAGUAACGUUCUGAAACCUGGCCUUCACAGGUGACAAAGGGCUGCUCCUUCUCUCUCUCCAAAAGCUGGUGGAGAAGUACCGAGCUGGCUAUUUCCCCUCACCCUUUCCACCUGGCAGGUGGCAGGAUAAAGCAUUGGUUGCAGACAGUGCCUUCUUAGAUUCUGAAAUGUAUAGGACUUGUGGAGAAUACUGGCGUCUGGCCUUCUUUAGCUACAAAGGAGGUGGGAAAGGCUGGGAGGCAGCGCUGGCAGUCUGCUGUCUCCAAAGUCUGAUGGUCCAGCAUUCAGAGAGCCAGGCUGUACACACCCCUGUGGGUACCGACUCACUUCUGACUUCUCUGAGUCCAAGGGUCUCAUGUCACUUUCCCUUUGAUCAAGAAGACUUUAAAGAAUGAGAAGAUGGAACCCCAAAGCCGUAGGUUGUGCUGGCUGUUGCAUCCUUGCCUUUUGCUGCAAGGAUGUUAGAGCUUGGAAGAGCAAAAGAAACCACAUGCGCAUCCUAAAUAAUGGUAACAACAUCGGGUUGGGGGGGGGAGAAAAGGAGACUAUGUAAUAAAUUAGAGGGGGUACACCUCCAGGCAAAUGAUUAGCCCUUAUUCCAGUGUUGUUAGGCCCCGUAGAGAAAAAGGUCUGCAUAGCAGCUGCUCAGACCAGCUAAAGCAGCCUCUGGAGUGACCUAGAUAGUCAAGUAUUCUGGAGGGCCCUGUGAUUUCAGCACUUAGCAGUGUUGGGAAGCCCCAGUAAGACAACAGGAGUUCCUGGCAGAGGCGUGGCUUUCCCAGCUAAGGAAUCUCAGAACAGUGGAGCCUCGCAGAGGGGAGACUAGACUCGGUAGAGGAAGCUCUAAACUGUGCUUGCAACAAACAGCAUGUGUCUGCAGUUGUUUGUGUGUAUGCACAAGCUCUUAUGUGGCAUAUUUUUUAUUUUCUCUUGUGUGUUAAUUAGGAGAGGAAUCGCUGGGUCCCGUGGAAAGUUUAACAUUCUGAAGAACUGCUAUGUCCUUUUCCCAACAAAUCCCACCAGCAGUGUAUGAACCUUCAUAUCUCUCCAUCCUCAUCAACAUUUGCUACUAUCUGCCCUUUCCAUUGCAGCCAUCAUAGAGGGAUAUGAUAUGCCAUUGUGAUUUUGAUUGGCACUUCCCUGGUGAUUAAUAAUUUGAGCAUCUUUUCAUAUGUUUGUUAACCACAUUAAAAUUUCAUUUAUUUUA